GGCCGCCGCCGGCCGCAGGCACAGGUUCCUGCACGUGCGGAGGUCUCAGCCCCCAGACUUUCUCUCAGCCUGCGUCAUAGCGCUUGGGCUUCUCUGAGGAACGAGUUUGAUGCAACUACUCAGCUGGAUUCCUGGACUUCUGCAAAGGCGCUCUCAUCUAUGGGUCUAACUGUUUUCUGGGGGGCCAUGCUGAAGAGCAGGAGCCAGUUAACAAGGCCUUGCUGGUUCUACCACCAGGACCGAGGACAGAGAAGUUGGAGAAAAAAGAUUCCCAAAGAUAUCCAUCCUCUGUGGCCUCUGCUAGUUCCUUUCAAUCAACACAACAGUGGAUGUAUCUCAUCACUAUGGCAACCAUCUGCUUUUACUGCACCUCAUUGCAUGCAGAACUUUCCCAACCAGGGAUGCAACCCACAUCCCCUGCAGUGGAAGUGCAAAAUCUUAAUCACCAGGAAGCUCCUUGCUUUUCAUUUUAUUUAGUAUA